GAGUUUGAUCCUGGCUCAGAUUGAACGCUGGCGGCAGGCCUAACACAUGCAAGUCGAGCGGAAACGAGUUAUCUGAACCUUCGGGGAACGAUAACGGCGUCGAGCGGCGGACGGGUGAGUAAUGCCUAGGAAAUUGCCCUGAUGUGGGGGAUAACCAUUGGAAACGAUGGCUAAUACCGCAUGAUGCCUACGGGCCAAAGAGGGGGACCUUCGGGCCUCUCGCGUCAGGAUAUGCCUAGGUGGGAUUAGCUAGUUGGUGAGGUAAGGGCUCACCAAGGCGACGAUCCCUAGCUGGUCUGAGAGGAUGAUCAGCCACACUGGAACUGAGACACGGUCCAGACUCCUACGGGAGGCAGCAGUGGGGAAUAUUGCACAAUGGGCGCAAGCCUGAUGCAGCCAUGCCGCGUGUGUGAAGAAGGCCUUCGGGUUGUAAAGCACUUUCAGUCGUGAGGAAGGUAGUGUAGUUAAUAGCUGCAUUAUUUGACGUUAGCGACAGAAGAAGCACCGGCUAACUCCGUGCCAGCAGCCGCGGUAAUACGGAGGGUGCGAGCGUUAAUCGGAAUUACUGGGCGUAAAGCGCAUGCAGGUGGUUUGUUAAGUCAGAUGUGAAAGCCCGGGGCUCAACCUCGGAAUAGCAUUUGAAACUGGCAGACUAGAGUACUGUAGAGGGGGGUAGAAUUUCAGGUGUAGCGGUGAAAUGCGUAGAGAUCUGAAGGAAUACCGGUGGCGAAGGCGGCCCCCUGGACAGAUACUGACACUCAGAUGCGAAAGCGUGGGGAGCAAACAGGAUUAGAUACCCUGGUAGUCCACGCCGUAAACGAUGUCUACUUGGAGGUUGUGGCCUUGAGCCGUGGCUUUCGGAGCUAACGCGUUAAGUAGACCGCCUGGGGAGUACGGUCGCAAGAUUAAAACUCAAAUGAAUUGACGGGGGCCCGCACAAGCGGUGGAGCAUGUGGUUUAAUUCGAUGCAACGCGAAGAACCUUACCUACUCUUGACAUCCAGAGAACUUUCCAGAGAUGGAUUGGUGCCUUCGGGAACUCUGAGACAGGUGCUGCAUGGCUGUCGUCAGCUCGUGUUGUGAAAUGUUGGGUUAAGUCCCGCAACGAGCGCAACCCUUAUCCUUGUUUGCCAGCGAGUAAUGUCGGGAACUCCAGGGAGACUGCCGGUGAUAAACCGGAGGAAGGUGGGGACGACGUCAAGUCAUCAUGGCCCUUACGAGUAGGGCUACACACGUGCUACAAUGGCGCAUACAGAGGGCAGCCAACUUGCGAAAGUGAGCGAAUCCCAAAAAGUGCGUCGUAGUCCGGAUUGGAGUCUGCAACUCGACUCCAUGAAGUCGGAAUCGCUAGUAAUCGUGGAUCAGAAUGCCACGGUGAAUACGUUCCCGGGCCUUGUACACACCGCCCGUCACACCAUGGGAGUGGGCUGCAAAAGAAGUAGGUAGUUUAACCUUCGGGGGGACGCUUACCACUUUGUGGUUCAUGACUGGGGUGAAGUCGUAACAAGGUAACC
rnacentral:rRNA from 1 species